rnacentral:lncRNA from 1 species
UGGGUGACUGCCUUGGCUGGAAAGGAGACAGAUGGGGCCCCUGCUCUCUGGGACUGAUUUCCAGUGGGAAGAAGGACGAUCAUCAAGGAACCCAACAAAUGAAUGACACCACCACAGGCAUGACAAGGGAAGCACAGAAAGAAAUAUGAUGCUAUGAAGAGGGCGAGGCUCUUCUGAGAAAACUCCUGCUCCAGGUGAGAGCAGA